AUACGGAGGGUGCAAGCGUUACUCGGAAUCACUGGGCGUAAAGCGCGCGCAGGCGGGCUGAUAAGUUGGAUGUGAAAGCCUACGGCUCAACCGUAGAACUGCAUCCAAAACUGUCAGUCUAGAGUGUGGGAGAGGAAGAUGGAAUUAGUUGUGUAGGGGUAAAAUCCGUAGAGAUAACUAGGAAUACCAAAAGCGAAGGCAAUCUUCUGGAACACUACUGACGCUGAGGCGCGAAGGCGUGGGGAGCAAACAGGAUUAGAUACCCCUGUAGUCC
rnacentral:rRNA from 1 species